UUUUUUUUUUUUCCCUCCCCACUUUUUUCUUCCCCAGUCAAUGAGACUACUCUCAAAUCCAGUGAGUCACCGGAAAAUGUAAAUUAAAAAAAAAAAAAAAUUAAGAGGAACAUUGCUCCUACGUAAGCUCUUGCCAUCUGUGAAUCAUUCCGAGACAGGUAUAAUGGACAUAAUUAUAGCUCAUCCACAAGCUAGACCCCAAAUCAAUCCUUAAGGCUGAGUUCAGAAUCCAGUGGUUUCCCCAGCAUGGCCUGGGGCAGUGAAAGCCAGCCUAGAGGAGAACACAAAUCUGAAAUGUGCUCAGAGGCCUUGGUGAUCCCACAGGGGGCCCAGGCUGGGUGGAAACCUGGGUAUGUAUGCCCUGAUAACCAGAGACCCAGCAAUUCCAGAACCCCCCUCCCACCCCAUGUUCUCCCCAUCCCACACACUCAAGGUACCUCCUUCUGUUUGAAUUCAUUCUCUUUUUACCAGACCUUUAUUCUUCCUGUCACUGCAAAACCAUUCAACCUAACCAAAAAGUCGGGGGGAUAGUCAAUUUAUUCUACUACAGGUUGGGCACGGUGGCUCACGCCUGUAAUCCUAGCACUUUGGGAGGCCAAGGCAGACAGAUCACGAGGUCAGGAGAUGGAGACCAUCCUGGCCAACGUGGUGAAACUCCAUCUCUACUAAAAUACAAAAAAUUAGCCAGGCCUGGUGGUGGGCGCCUAUAGUCCCAGCUAGUUGGGAGGCUGAGGCAGGGGAAAUCACUUGAACCCAGGAGGCGGAGGUUGCAGUGAGCUGAGAUAGUGCCACUGGACUCCAGCAUAGGUGAUAGAGCAAGACUCUAUCUAUCUAUAUAUAUAUAAAUAAAAUACUUCAAAUAGGAUCAUCCCUUCUGUAUAUAGACUGCCUGGACCUUGGCUAAUCACUCUUUGCUUUUCUUUCCUCAUCUGCAAAAUAGGACAACAAUAGGCCCUUCUUCAUGGGAGUUUUGUGGCAAUUAAAUGAGGUAAUGUAUGUGAUACCCUUAAGAACAAUGCUUGUGUUCAAUCAAUACCCAGCGAUUAUUAACAUCAUCAUCCUCUUCACCUCCUGGGGAGGUGGGAGUGUCAAAAGCUCCCAUGUAAGAUGGCAACUACCAUGGCUCCAGGGCCCCCCAUUCUGGUGGCCAGUAUUAGGAAUCACAGGAGCACCAUAAUGAGAAUGUUGGAGCUGGAAGAUCAUCCAACCCCAUCAGGGAAACUGGACCCAAAGAAGAGCAGAGACCAGCCCCGAGCCACCCACUUGGUCAGUGUCAGAGGCAAGACAGGAACCCUGGCCUUCUGUGUGCAGGCCAUUUUUCCCACUCUAGCACAUGCGAUUCCUCCAGUCCCAGAGGUGAAGGUCAGAAGAGCAAGCUUAACACAUCUCUGUAAUCAGGGGAGAUGAACUCCUUGGAAAUGGGAAACAUUAUGCUAAUCCAUUCCAAAAUAUUCUAGCUCAAGGCCAAGUGCAGGGGGCCUAUGUCCGUGGAAGCCCCGCUCCUGCAAGUCAGUACCAGCACC
rnacentral:lncRNA from 1 species